AGAGUUUGAUCCUGGCUCAGAUUGAACGCUGGCGGCAGGCUUAACACAUGCAAGUCGAGCGGGGAAAUGUAGCUUGCUACAUUACCUAGCGGCGGACGGGUGAGUAAUGCUUAGGAAUCUGCCUAUUAGUGGGGGACAACAUUUCGAAAGGAAUGCUAAUACCGCAUACGCCCUACGGGGGAAAGCAGGGGAUCUUCGGACCUUGCGCUAAUAGAUGAGCCUAAGUCGGAUUAGCUAGUUGGCGGGGUAAAGGCCUACCAAGGCGACGAUCUGUAGCGGGUCUGAGAGGAUGAUCCGCCACACUGGGACUGAGACACGGCCCAGACUCCUACGGGAGGCAGCAGUGGGGAAUAUUGGACAAUGGGGGGAACCCUGAUCCAGCCAUGCCGCGUGUGUGAAGAAGGCCUUUUGGUUGUAAAGCACUUUAAGCGAGGAGGAGGCUACCUAGAUUAAUACUCUGGGAUAGUGGACGUACUCGCAGAAUA
rnacentral:rRNA from 1 species